ACUGCAACCUCUGCCUCCAGGGCUCAAGCGAUUCUCCCACCCCAGCCUCCGGAGUAGCUGGGACCACAGGUGUGCAGCACCAUGCCCAGCUAAUUGUUUAUUUUUUGUAGAGACAGGGUCUUGCUAUGUUGCCCAGGCUGGUCUCAAACUCCUGGGCUCAAGCGGUCCUACUGCCUCGGCCUCCCAAAGUGCUGGGAUUACGAGCGUGAGCCACCAUGCCCAGCCCCAGGAAAUUCUCAUUGCAUGAUUCAGUCCAACCAGCAGCUUCCUGGCUCCUAUUUGCCUUUCCAGAAAGCAGACUCUCCCAGGCUGAGCGCCAAGCCUGCCAUUCCUCCGUGAGAACCACAGUGAGUGCCAAUGAACACCCUGUAAACUGUCACUGUUGGAACAAUUGUGCUUCCAGGUCUGCGAGAAGCGCAGGGAAAAUGACAGCUUGCUCACUGCUCCCAAAGUGCUGGGAUUGCUCAGGGCUGAAGGUGCUUCAGAAACCCACGCUUUUUGUCCUCAAAGUUUUUUUGUAGGUUCUGAAAGUAAUGAUUUUUCUGGAUCCAUUAGUCAUAUGGGAGUAUUGCCUGGGUCCCCCUCCUUCAUCGCAAAGGGAAGAGUCAUAGAAUGAUGGAAAGAUGACUGGCUUAGAGUCUGAGACCUGAGUUCAAAUCCUGGCUCUGUUGCUAAUGAAAGCUGGGCCCCAGUUUCUCUACCUGUACCUUGGCAAUCAGAGUUCCCCGCUCAUGGUGUUGCUGAGAGACUCAAGACAGGCUGAGAUCCAUGGGAAUUUUCAGGAAUGUUUAUUUAAAUUUAUUUUUAUGUUCAUUAUUGUAAAGACAAGGUCUUGUUAUGUUGCCCAAGGUGGUCUUGAACUCCUGGGCUCAAGCAGUCCUCCUGUCAUGGCCUCCUAAAGUGCUAGGAUUACAGGCAUGAGCCACCAUGCCCAAGAACUUUCAGGAUCUUUUGAAGGACAACAUAAAUGUGAAUGACCCUGGUAAAUAAAACAUCCCAAGAGCUAGCUCGGUGCUGAGCCCAGUUCCGGCCUGCUUCAUCCCAGACACCCCAGCCUUGCUUUCUGCAUUUGCAGCUGCACUCCUGCCUCAGACCAGAAUCUCCCGGUGGCCCUAGGUGGCUGCAGGGAGCACGUGGCUCCUCCAGCCCAGGAAUCCAGUGGAGGAGAUUUCUGGAGACCACCAUGAUUCCACCCAGAGGGCAGCCCUUCCCUCCUACAGGACAUAUUCUUUCUAGAGCCACUGUGCAGCCGCUUCCAUAGGCGAGCCCUCCCUGAAUAGGAGCACAGUGGGAGCAGUUGGCUGAGCUCUGGGCUCACAGCUCAGGGCACAAGGGCAAAGAAGCCAUCCUCUCAAGCUCAUUGUCAUCCCUGGGGUAAAACAGAAGAUGGCCUGGUGGCCUUUGUGAGGUGAGUAAAGAAGCACAACAAGGAGGAGGAGAGAUCCAUGCCCCAUGUUCAGUGCAGAGAACGGCAUGUGCAAAGGCCCUGUGGCCGGAACACAUUUGGUGUCUCUGAGGAACGCUGCAACCAGAGCUCGGUGAGAAAAGGGAGGGCAGAGACAGAUGAUGCCCAGAAAGCGGCCAGGGCCAGGGAGGCAGACCACAGCUAGGGCUUCGGAAUUCCUUCAAGGUGUAAUGGGGGCCAAGUGUGGUGGCUCACGCCUCUAAUCCCAGCACUUUGGGAGGCCGAGGCAGGUGGAUCACCUGAGGUCAGGAGUUCGAGACCAGCCUGGCCAACGU
rnacentral:lncRNA from 1 species